UGAGGAAUAUUGGGCAAUGCCCGCAAGGGUGACCCAGCAACGCCGCGUGGAGGAUGAAUGUCGUAAGAUUGUAAACUCCUGUUAGAGGGGAAGAAUAGUACCGGUUGGACCGGUAUAUGACUGUACCCUCAGAGAAAGCCCCGGCUAACUACGUGCCAGCAGCCGCGGUAAUAGGUAGGGGGCAAGCGUUGUCCGGAUUUACUGGGUGUAAAGGGCGCGCAGGCGGGAUAAAAAGUCAGUGGUGAAAUCCUACAGCUUAACUGUAGAACUGCCUUUGAUACUUUUAUUCUUGAGUUCGGGAGAGAGAGACGGAAUUCCAGGUGUAGUGGUGAAAUACGUAGAUAUCUGGAAGAACACCAGUUGCGAAGGCGGUCUCUUGGUCCGACACUGACGCUGAGGCGCGAAAGCGUGGGGAGCAAACA
rnacentral:rRNA from 1 species